AUCCGGGCGGUUCCCCCUUCGGGGGGACAGGGUGACAGGUGGUGCAUGGUUGUCGUCAGCUCGUGUCGUGAGAUGUUGGGUUAAGUCCCGCAACGAGCGCAACCCUCGACCUUAGUUGCCAGCAUUCAGUUGGGCACUCUAAGGUGACUGCCGGCUAAAAGUCGGAGGAAGGUGGGGAUGACGUCAAAUCAUCAUGCCCCUUAUGACCUGGGCUACACACGUGCUACAAUGGGCGGUACAAAGGGUCGCGAACCCGCGAGGGGGAGCCAAUCCCAAAAAGCCGCUCUCAGUUCGGAUUGCAGGCUGCAACUCGCCUGCAUGAAGCCGGAAUCGCUAGUAAUCGCGGAUCAGCAUGCCGCGGUCGAAUACGUUCCCGGGCCUU
rnacentral:rRNA from 1 species